rnacentral:rRNA from 1 species
UACAGAGGUCCCAAGCGUUGUUCGGAUUCAUUGGGCGUAAAGGGCGCGUAGGCUGCGGGGCAAGUCGGGUGUGAAAUCUCAGGGCUCAACUCUGAAACUGCACUCGAUACUGCUUUGCUCGAGGACUGGAGAGGAGAUUGGAAUUCACGGUGUAGCAGUGAAAUGCGUAGAUAUCGUGAGGAAGACCAGUGGCGAAGGCGGAUCUCUGGACAGUUCCUGACGCUGAGGCGCGAAGGCCAGGGGAGCAAACGGG